GUUUAUGGCGGCUGUACGCGGGAGACCUUCGGGUCUGCCGGGUUCCCAAAUUUACCGGUUCGCUAACCCGUGUACAGCUGCCACCUCU
rfam:Pseudomonas fluorescens SBW25 complete genome